CUUAUUUGGAUCGGUUGGAUCGCGAUAUAUAUCUGUGUCCUCUUUUCGAGUUGUCAAAUUGGCGGUCAAGUCUUUUGUGACAUCGGCGACAUCUUUUGCGGAUUCAGAAGCAGCAAAGAGGCGGCGGGAUGUCCAGAAAUAGGCUUGAGCAAUAGGGGAUGAUGAAGAUAAGUCCCAAGACUCU
rnacentral:antisense_RNA from 1 species